UGGGCGAAAGCCUGAUCCAGCAAUGCCGCGUGAGUGAUGAAGGCCUUAGGGUUGUAAAGCUCUUUUACCCGGGAUGAUAAUGACAGUACCGGGAGAAUAAGCCCCGGCUAACUCCGUGCCAGCAGCCGCGGUAAUAUCACU
rnacentral:rRNA from 1 species